GUCCCUUCCAACUCUAUGAUUCUUUGAAACUUUGCUACAGGUCAUAGAAUCAUAGAAACUUAGAGUUGGAAAGGAC